UACGUAGGGGGCUAGCGUUGGCCGGAAUCAUUGGGCGUAAAGCGCGUGUAGGCGGCCCGGUAAGUCCGCUGUGAAAGUCCAGGGCUCAACCCUGGGAUGCCGGUGGAUACUGUCGGGCUCGAGUCCGGAAGAGGCGAGUGGAAUUCCUGGUGUAGCGGUGAAAUGCGCAGAUAUCAGGAGGAACACCAAUGGCGAAGGCAGCUCGCUGGGACGUGACUGACGCUGAGACGCGAAAGCGUGGGGAGCAAACAGG
rnacentral:rRNA from 1 species